AUGCGGGCCAUGCGGUAUUUAGCUGAAUAUUUUAAUUUCUUACAGAUGUUCCAUAAGAAAGUUUCUGUUUGUGACCAUUGAUCAGAAUCUCCCCGCUUUGCCUCGUGCUGAAGUCCAGUCGCCCUGAGAAGUGGCCAUCAGCUAAUGCGUCUAAAAGUGUAGAUUUGCCACAGCCAGAAGGGCCCAUGACAGCCAGAAGCUCACUAGGUCGAGCAUAGCCAGUGAGACCCUGAAGUAUGGAUUUGCUGGCACUCUUUCUGGUGGAAACAGUGACCCAUAAGUCAUUCCAAGUCAAGGAAACGCCUCUAGAUUUUGAUCCCAUUUGGCCCUUCACAGCAUUAUUCAAUUCUACUUCGUGUAACAGCAUUGCCAAGUUUACAGAAGCCAUGCCCUGAAAAAUUGUGGGGAAUAAUACCAAAACGGAAAGGUGGUUUAUUUCUUUUUCUUACAAAAGGUAUGGGUAUUUAAGGAUGUUGUAGUGUGAAACACUUCGUUGUCCUCUGACGGGUAGCUAUGCCAUUAAUGAGACAUAUCUCAAAAAAAAUAUUCCAAUUACAAACAGUUCAAGGGAACUCAUUUAUGUUUCUCUUUGUACUCUGGCAGUUUCAGCUAUUAAUGAAUGUCUUGCUCCUAUCCUAA